UGUAUUUAUUAGAUAAAAACCAAUGCCCUUCGGGGCUCCUUGGUGAUUCAUAAUAACUUAACGGAUCGCAUGGCCUUGCGCCGGCGACGGUUCAUUCAAAUUUCUGCCCUAUCAACUUUCGAUGGUAAGGUAUUGGCUUACCAUGGUUUCAACGGGUAACGGGGAAUUAGGGUUCGAUUCCGGAGAGGGAGCCUGAGAAACGGCUACCACAUCCAAGGAAGGCAGCAGGCGCGCAAAUUACCCAAUCCCGACACGGGGAGGUAGUGACAAUAAAUACUGAUACAGGGCUCUUUUGGGUCUUGUAAUCGGAAUGAGUACAAUUUAAACCCCUUAACGAGGAACAAUUGGAGGGCAAGUCUGGUGCCAGCAGCCGCGGUAAUUCCAGCUCCAAUAGCGUAUAUUAAAGUUGUUGCAGUUAAAAAGCUCGUAGUUGAACCUUGGGCCUGGCUGGCCGGUCCGCCUCACCGCGUGUACUGGUCCGGCCGGGCCUUUCCUUCUGGAGAGCCCCAUGCCCUUCACUGGGCGUGCGGGGGAACCAGG
rnacentral:rRNA from 1 species